CCUACGGGACGCAGCAGUAGGGAAUUUUCGUCAAUGGGCGCAAGCCUGAACGAGCAAUGCCGCGUGAACGAGGAAGGUCUUCGGAUCGUAAAACCCUGUUGUUAGAGAAGAAAGUGCGUGAGAGUAACUGUUCACGUUUCGACGGUAUCUAACCAGAAAGCCACGGCUAACUACGUGCCAGCAGCCGCGGUAAUACGUAGGUGGCAAGCGUUAUCCGGAUUUAUUGGGCGUAAAGGGAACGCAGGCGGUCUUUUAAGUCUGAUGUGAAAGCCUUCGGCUUAACCGGAGUAGUGCAUUGGAAACUG
rnacentral:rRNA from 1 species